GCGCGGGUAGCCGAGCCAGGCCAAAGGUGCAGCGCUUAGGACGCUGUCCCGCAGGGGUCCGCCGGUUCAAAUCCGGUCCCGCGCA
rnacentral:tRNA from 1 species